UACAUUUUAUUUGUUAGGUGCCUUUCUGGGCACUCAAGGUCGCCUUACAACAAUGCAACAUAACAAUAACAAUAUAAAAUAACAUUAAAACAAAGUUUAAAACAAUUAAGGUUAAAAUUAAACAGGACAGAGCAGUUAUGGUUGUAGUGAAUAAGCUUGUCUAAACAGAUGAGUUUUGAGUUUGGAUUUGAAAUCAGUGAGUGAGGUGGUAUUAUGGAGGUCUGGGGGGAGUGUGUUCCAGAGCUGGGGAGCAGAGCGGCUGAAUGCCCUGCUCCCCACAGUGACAAGACGGGCGGGGGGGACAGAGAGAUGAAGAGAGGGGGAG